UGCUCACCCCUGUUAUAAUCUAUUGGAAGAUGUGUAAAAUAAAAGUUUGGAGCUUUACAUAUUUUAUUUAAUGUUACCAUCAUAAGUAUGUAUGUUUAUAUAUUUUUCUAAUUAAUUGCAGGAAUCAAAUAAAGAUAAUUCUCAAAAUAAAGAUCAACAACAAACAAAUCAAGAUUAUCAUAUGCAUUCAGUAUCUAAUUCACAGAAUACUAGAGAGAUGGAUAUUUAUUCAACAUCCAGUCAUCCACUGCCAACACCAAUAAGUCGUCCUCGUUCAUAUAGUUCAUCAACAAAUCAUUCAGGUGACUCUUUGCCUCAGUAUCCUAAAGCACCUGGUUCUGAACGA